CAGCGCCACGAGUGGGGACCCUGUUUAUUUGGCCUAAAGCGUCCGUAGCUGGUUUAGUAAAUCUCUUGUGAAAUCGUUGGGCUUAACCCAGCGGCGUGCAGGAGAGACUGCUAAACUAGGGACUGGGAGGAGUAAGAGGUAUGCUGGGGGGAGCGGUAAAAUGCUAUAAUCCUCAGUAGACCACCUAUGGCGAAGGCAUCUUACUAGAACAGGUCCGACAGUGAGGGACGAAAGCCAGGGGAGCAAACCGGAUUAGAUACCCCAGUAGUCC
rnacentral:rRNA from 1 species